rnacentral:piRNA from 1 species
UCCAGCUGAAUCUGUGCCUACAAAUGGAAUC